UUGACCUCAAAUCAGGUAGGACUACCCGCUGAACGAAC
rnacentral:rRNA from 1 species